GUAACGCGUGGGAAUAUGCCCUUUAGUUCAGAAUAACACCGGGAAACUGGUGCUAAUACUGGAUACGCCCUUCGGGGGAAAGAUUUAUCGCUAAAGGAUUAGCCCGCGUUAGAUUAGGUAGUUGGUGGGGUAAUGGCCUACCAAGCCUACGAUCUAUAGCUGGUCUGAGAGGAUGAUCAGCCACACUGGAACUGAGACACGGUCCAGACUCCUACGGGAGGCAGCAGUGGGGAAUAUUGGACAAUGGGCGAAAGCCUGAUCCAGCCAUGCCGCGUGAGUGAUGAAGGCCUUAGGGUUGUAAAGCUCUUUUGUCAGGGAAGAUAAUGACGGUACCUGAAGAAUAAGCACCGGCUAACUUCGUGCCAGCAGCCGCGGUAAUACGAAGGGUGCUAGCGUUGUUCGGAAUCACUGGGCGUAAAGCGCGCGUAGGCGGCUUUUCAAGUCAGAGGUGAAAGCCCGUGGCUCAACCACGGAAUUGCCUUUGAAACUGAGAAGCUAGAGUGUCGGAGGGGAUAGCGGAAUUGCUAAUGUAGAGGUGAAAUUCGUAGAUAUUAGCAGGAACACCGGUGGCGAAGGCGGCUAUCUGGACGACAACUGACGCUGAGGCG
rnacentral:rRNA from 1 species